rnacentral:rRNA from 1 species
GAUUAACGCUAGCGGCAGGCCUAAUACAUGCAAGUUGUACGGGAUUAUUGGUAGCAAUACUGAUAUGGGAGUAGCGCACGGGUGCGUAACACGUAUGCAACCUACCUUUAACUGGGGAAUAGCCUUCCGAAAGGAAGAUUAAUACCGCAUAACAUUGCGAAACGACAUCGUUUUGCAAUUAAACCUACGGGGGUUAGAGAUGGGCAUGCGUCCGAUUAGCUAGUUGGCGGGGUAAUAGCCCACCAAGGCAACGAUCGGCAGGGGGUCUGAGAGGAUGAUCCCCCACACUGGUACUGAGACACGGACCAGACUCCUACGGGAGGCAGCAGUAAGGAAUAUUGGACAAUGGGGCAACCCUGAUCCAGCCAUGCCGCGUGAAGGAUG